UUCCCCCCAUAUCAGGGCCAUUUAUUUUCUCAACACAGGCACUGGGGAGGAAAGGGAGGAAAAUUAAAGCAUUGCAAAAAACCCCAUUAUUGCAUGGCACCACAAAGGAAAAAUCGGUUAAAUUUUGCCUCCCUAGUUCCCCAAACCUGACUCUGGCCCCUUACACAUGAUGGAGGUGAACAAGGCAAAGUUGGGAGUAGCUUCAAGCUGGGGCAGCUUGUGAACUGAGCACAGGGACAAUCAGGGGUGGUUCAAGCGCAGGCAGCUUCACCCCGUGCCAUGGCCAACCCCCAGCACUCCUUUCUCCUCGCCAGGAGGGCAGCAUGGCCACAGCAGCCACGCAAAACCCCCAUGCUGACACUGGCCAGAACUUCAUCUCUUGGUGCUGAAGAGACAAAAACCCCUCAGGAGGCAAUGAGUGAGACACCACAGGCUGUGGUCAUGAAGACUUUUGGAGGACUAGAUGAGAUCUCUGAGGUGAGAUCACCUUCCUGUGACCCAUCAGUCCUUCCCCCUCUCUCUCCCCGUGGAAAAAAAGGUGCAAAGUGAAAAUAUUUUAAUUUCUUCUUGGGAAAGCAAAGCUCUAGUGCCUGCUCCUAGCUGUGGAAGAAACACAAAAUGAGUUGAUCCCUGCUUUCCAGGGAAGGCAAUGAGGGGGCUUUUUUAGGGGGAUUAUUUGCUUUCCUCCCCUGAAUAAUGUAAGAUUUUGAAGUUAGGAUUAUAGAAACAAGCUGAUUGUUUCACUUGUAAGUUGUUUUGUUGUUUUUGUUGUUUUUGGGGUUUUUUUGGUUGGUUUUGGUUUGGUUUUUUGUGUUUUGGUUUGGUUUGGUUUUUGUGUGGGUGUGUGUGUAUUCAGGAGAAAAUGCAGUCUCAUGUGCAAUCCUUAAGGAAGGUGUUGGCAGAAUUUCUGGACUGGAGAGAGAGUGAAGAGAAGAGAAGAGACACCAGGACUACCUGAUACAGGUUCUACGGCAGUCUGAAUGAGCCUUUGGGUAUUUAUUUUUCCCCAAGCCCCUCUUGAAGAAAUGGGUGGGAUCAUAUCCAAGAGGCAUCCUGGCACCCUGUAAAGCCCUACAUCCAGCUGGAGUGGUUGGCGCAGAUCCUGGGCAGGUUUGGCAAGCACCACCUCCAUGUGCAGCUGCUUAUUAUCCACACUUUAAAUCAAUGUCAUGGUGCUGCUCAUUUUCAUCCCAGACUGAGUCACAAAGGGACAUGUGUUAACAUGGAAUUAACACUCCCCCCUGGUUCUCAGGACCUGGAUUGGUUUUGGACAGAAUAUAGAGAGGAAUGGCAAAAAGGGAGGGAAAAGGAGAAUCAUGGGGUUGUGGUGGUUUGACCGAAAAAUGGGAAUUCUAGAAUGCUGUAGUCAAACCAAUGGGUGCUCAGAUUUUAAUAUUGGCACCUGGUGUGGCCAUUGGGACAUUUGGACAUGCCUCUGAGAACACAGGGGUUAAAAAGCAGAGCUGCUGCUCCGAGAGGCUCCGGAGGCAAAGAGGUUGGAUCUCCCUGCCUUGUUCAGCUGCUGCUGCUGGGCGGGGAAGGGGCAGCCAUGCGGUAGGCCUGGGGCUGGACAGAGAUGGCGGGUGAGAGGCCCUUGAGGAUGGAAGGGUGGAGGAGCCCCAGGAGGCAUCGGGCAGCCCCCCCCACCCCCCUCACCCCAUGGGAGAGAGAGAGAGAGCCAGCGUCUAAAUUUGAUAUCAGCCUGCCGAGGAGGAGAAGGGGGAGUGCAGCGAGAAGGUGCCUGGCAGGGCAGCAUGGGAGUUCCAAAGCUCUGGGACAGGCAGAGACUGAGAUAUUUAACCCUUUUCUUGCAUGAUAGAAAUCUUGCAAAUGCUGAUCCUCCUGGAGCUGAAUGAGAAGAGAGAUAAGAGGGGAUGGGCCACUAGGGAAGUGGAGAAGACUUUUGAGUGGGGGAAGAGAUGACAGAGUGGCCUUUUGGCUGGACUUUUCUUGUGUGGCCAUAGACUGAACCAUUUUUUUUUCCCUGUGACACAGAGGCUGCAUUUAGGGGAAGGCAAUGGCUCAGAACCAAGGGAGCGCAGUGAUGUUAUGUGUAAGAGUGCACGAACAGAGACAACAGGUGAGGAGCGUGGUUGGUUCUCUCACUUCAGUGGAAGAGAAGAUCUCUGUUUUUGAGACCCCUCAGCCCCAGGGGGUGAAAUUUGUGGGGGACAGGUGUCCCAAAAGUGAGAGACUGUGCUCUUUGUUAGAACUGGGCAAAGCAUCCUUAAAGGGGAACCCUAGAAGCAGCUCUGGUCCAUGUGCAGUGGUGAGAGCACUGAGGAUGAAAGGAAGAUGUCACGACGACAAAGGCUUUCCUGAGCGGUGCCACCUGUGACGGGAAACACAAAAGGUCUCAAUGGUGUUUCUGGGGGAAUCCUAUGGCACAAGAAGGACUCCUCACUCUUGAUAAACUGAAGAUUGAGUAUUCUAAAGGGUGGUGCCGGACUGAGAGUUGGUGAUUUGGGAGAUGUAUUGUAUUGGGAAAUUUGGUGGGGGGAGGAGGAAAAUGCUUUUGUAAGGUUUUCAUUUUCCUUGUGUGUUUUUUUUUUUUUUUCCUGUCCUUGUAGUUUAGUUAUUUUCUUGUAGUUUAGUUAAUAAAGUUUUCUUUAUUUCUAAGUA